rnacentral:lncRNA from 1 species
AGAUUAAGAGGCUUUACAAGCAGUGGAAGUGGAACAUGCGCCGUAUCGAUGCGACGGAGGUUUUCCUCCGGCGAGGGGAAGAAGCCGACGAGGCUUGGGAGAACAUGGUGGCUCGACCUAGCGCACUCGCCGUCGACAGGUUUCUUAAUUACAGCAACGAUCACCAUUUGGAAGGGGACGCUAUUCUAUUACCGGAGAUCUCCGCUGUUCCGCCGCUUCCAGCCGCCGUGGCAGCGAUUUCGCGGUAAAAAAAUAUAAAACAGGAAAUGAAGCAAUGGAUAUGGUGUGGAAAAAAGGACUAUUAUAAUGCCACGUGGCGAGAUUGUUGGAAAGGUCUAGAGCUAUGACAAUGCCACGUGGUUAUAUUGGUCUUUGUCGGAGAAGAUGAUCUUUUAUUACAUAAAGUGUGUGUGUUACGGUUAAACGGAAUCAGUUUUGAGGGACCUAAAGUGCACGCGCGGGGCGGAUGCUGACGGGUUCUCCUUUUGUUCCGGAAAACAGCAACUAAUCAGGAACAAGCCGUGUGGCAGCCCGUGUGUCGCUUCGGCCGUAUCGAUGCGACGGAGGUUUUCCUCCGGCGAGGGGAAGAAGCCGACGAGGCUUGGGAGAACAUGGUGGCUCGACCUAGCGCACUCGCCGUCGACAGGUUUCUUAAUUACAGCAACGAUCACCAUUUGGAAGGGGACGCUAUUCUAUUACCGGAGAUCUCCGCUGUUCCGCCGCUUCCAGCCGCCGUGGCAGCG